GGCAGAAUUGACGCUUACUGUGAUCCCGUAACAACGAAAUAUUCUCGCGUUGAAAAUUUUGUUCCGGCAGCUCAGCUGGAGAUGGGCCGUUUCAAAUAAAAAAAAAAGAAGACUACGAUUGUGCGUUUUUCCCAACUACUUGCGAUGAUGAGUAUACAGCGAAUGCCAACACGUUUCCGUCAUAUCCCCCAAGACCACGACCCAAAACGACAACAACGGCAACGACGACGACUACAACGACUCCCACACUGUCAUAUGGUCGAAGAUUUAUAAACUGGUUAAAAGGUCAAUUUUACUAAAUUUGUAUAUUUAUUUUAACUUUUGACUAGGUACUGUUAUACUGUAGUUGA